rnacentral:rRNA from 1 species
ACGAACGUUGGCGGCGUGGAUUAGGCAUGCAAGUCGAGCGAGGGCAGUCGUGUAGCAAUACAAGGCUGAACCGAGCGGCGAAAGGGGCAGUAAGGCGUGGAUAACUUGCCCGGAGGACGGGGAUAGCCAUUCUAACGAGUGGGUAAUACCCGGCGAUGUAGCGAGGGGGCAUCCUCUUGCUACCAAAGGAAUUUCGCCUCCGGAGGGGUUCACGUGGUAUUAGCUAGUUGGUGGGGUGAUGGCCUACCAAGGCAAAGAUGCCUAGCAGGUGUGAGAGCACGACCUGCGCCACUGGCACUGAGACACUGGCCAGACACCUACGGGUGGCUGCAGUCGAGAAUCUUCGGCAAUGGGCGCAAGCCUGACCGAGCGACGCCGCGUGGAGGAUGAAGGCCUUCGGGUUGUAAACUCCUGUCGUAGGGGAGGAAAGCGCAAGCUUGACCUAUCCUAGGAGGAAGCACGGGCUAAGUUCGU